ACCCAGAGACCUGUUCGUCAGGCUACUAGUUGCCCAAGACCAGGGAAAACCUGCCAGAGGAGGCCCCAAAGCAAACUCCUGCUUUCAGAAGGUCUGCAGGUGGGCCAGCCUCUCUGGGCAUCUCUAGGUGGGCUUGUUCCAGGACCCCUGAGCUUUGAUCUCAGCCCUGAGAGCAGAGAAACACGGAAACAAGGAGAUUCUGGAACAGAAGCCAAGUGUUGACUUCUAUGGCCUCCUCUGGGGAGGUUGAAGAGGAGGCUCAUGGGAAGAAUGAAGAUGGGAGGAGGAACGACCUGCUUCUCAGCUGGAGGACUUUCAGGACUAAGCACUAGCAUGGACCAAGGAGUCUCAACUACAAACCACAUGACCUGAGUGCUGGGCCAC
rnacentral:lncRNA from 1 species